rnacentral:rRNA from 1 species
GAUGAACGCUAGCGGCAGGCUUAACACAUGCAAGUCGAGGGGUACGGUUCUUCGGAACCAGAGACCGGCGCACGGGUGCGUAACGCGUAUGCAAUCUACCUUUUACAAAGGGAUAGCCCAGAGAAAUUUGGAUUAAUACCUCAUAGUAUAGCUCUACCGCAUGGUAGUACUAUUAAAGUCACAACGGUAAAAGAUGAGCA